AGUGCAUUACCAGCAAGCAUCCCAGGCAGGGCACUCAUUUUGCAAGCUCGCAGAAAGUGUGGUCAUGCCAAGUAAGUGUCCAGGAGGGAUUAUAAUUCAUGGGCUUCUGGGGAAGAGGAUGAGCAGCCAGCCUGGAAGCUCUGAAUUCUCUGACAUUGGAAUAGAUCGAAAGCAUCCUACAAUCGCCGCCCGCCAGGCGCCCACGUGACCUCGUUGUCUUUGCGGCAUGUGCAAACUUGUUCACAGCUGUGGCUGUUGUCAUCACUUCAGCGGGAUUAUGUGCACUGUUGGCACUUCAUGUGCCGGGUUUAAUUGCCAUGUAAAAUGCCUUCAGAAAGAUUAUACUAUGAUUCAGCAUUGAAAGGAAAACUUACGGUGUAUUC
rnacentral:lncRNA from 1 species